GUGGGGUGCUAUACUGCAGUAGAACGCUGAAGAGAGGAGCUUGCUCUUCUUGGAUGAGUUGCGAACGGGUGAGUAACGCGUAGGUAACCUGCCUUGUAGCGGGGGAUAACUAUUGGAAACGAUAGCUAAUACCGCAUAACAAUGGAUGACACAUGUCAUUUAUUUGAAAGGGGCAAUUGCUCCACUACAAGAUGGACCUGCGUUGUAUUAGCUAGUAGGUGAGGUAAUGGCUCACCUAGGCGACGAUACAUAGCCGACCUGAGAGGGUGAUCGGCCACACUGGGACUGAGACACGGCCCAGACUCCUACGGGAGGCAGCAGUAGGGAAUCUUCGGCAAUGGGGGCAACCCUGACCGAGCAACGCCGCGUGAGUGAAGAAGGUUUUCGGAUCGUAAAGCUCUGUUGUAAGUCAAGAACGGGUGUGAGAGUGGAAAGUUCACACUGUGACGGUAGCUUACCAGAAAGGGACGGCUAACUACGUGCCAGCAGCCGCGGUAAUACGUAGGUCCCGAGCGUUGUCCGGAUUUAUUGGGCGUAAAGCGAGCGCAGGCGGUUUGAUAAGUCUGAAGUUAAAGGCUGUGGCUCAACCAUAGUUCGCUUUGGAAACUGUCAAACUUGAGUGCAGAAGGGGAGAGUGGAAUUCCAUGUGUAGCGGUGAAAUGCGUAGAUAUAUGGAGGAACACCGGUGGCGAAAGCGGCUCUCUGGUCUGUAACUGACGCUGAGGCUCGAAAGCGUGGGGAGCGAACAGGAUUAGAUACCCUGGUAGUCCACGCCGUAAACGAUGAGUGCUAGGUGUUGGAUCCUUUCCGGGAUUCAGUGCCGCAGCUAACGCAUUAAGCACUCCGCCCUGGGGAGUACGACCGCAAGGUUGAAACUCAAAGGAAUUGACGGGGGCCCGCACAAGCGGUGGAGCAUGUGGUUUAAUUCGAAGCAACGCGAAGAACCUUACCAGGUCUUGACAUCCCGAUGCUAUUUCUAGAGAUAGAAAGUUACUUCGGUACAUCGGUGACAGGUGGUGCAUGGUUGUCGUCAGCUCGUGUCGUGAGAUGUUGGGUUAAGUCCCGCAACGAGCGCAACCCCUAUUGUUAGUUGCCAUCAUUCAGUUGGGCACUCUAGCGAGACUGCCGGUAAUAAACCGGAGGAAGGUGGGGAUGACGUCAAAUCAUCAUGCCCCUUAUGACCUGGGCUACACACGUGCUACAAUGGUUGGUACAACGAGUUGCGAGUCGGUGACGGCGAGCUAAUCUCUUAAAGCCAAUCUCAGUUCGGAUUGUAGGCUGCAACUCGCCUACAUGAAGUCGGAAUCGCUAGUAAUCGCGGAUCAGCACGCCGCGGUGAAUACGUUCCCGGGCCUUGUACACACCGCCCGUCACACCACGAGAGUUUGUAACACCCGAAGUCGGUGAGGUAACCUUUUGGAGCCAGCCGCCUAAGUGACAGU
rnacentral:rRNA from 1 species